UACGUAGGGUGCAAGCGUUGUCCGGAAUUAUUGGCGUAAAGAGCUCGUAGGCGGUCUGUCGCGUCGGCUGUGAAAUCCCGAGGCUCAACCUCGGGUCUGCAGUCGAUACGGGCAAACUGGAGUGUUGCAGGGGAGACUGGAAUUCCUGGUGUAGCGGUGAAAUGCGCAGAUAUCAGGAGGAACACCGGUGGCGAAGGCGGGUCUCUGGGCAACAACUGACGCUGAGGAGCGAAAGCGUGGGGAGCGAACAGG
rnacentral:rRNA from 1 species